GCGGGCGUGGCGGAACUGGUAGACGCGGCGGGUUUAGGUCCCGUUGUCUUCACAAGACUUGGGGGUUCGAGUCCCUCCGCCCGCACCA
rnacentral:tRNA from 1 species